GUUGGGUAUGUGGUAACUGACUCAAUAGAUCAAAGAAAACUGAAUUUUAUGCUUGAAGAGAGGGAAUGUUGACAGGCAACAAGACAAUGUGUGCAGAAGAAACCCAGACUGAGUUAAGAAUUCAAGGUUCCUAGUAUCUCUGAAGGUAAGAGUGAAGGGUGGAACUGAGCAAAGGAAUCCCACAAAAAGACUGGAUCAGGGGUGGUCAGACCCCCAAGUGUCUUACUGCGAUCACUAGGUGAGUACUUUUAGCCCACCCGAAGAAGGUAAGACAGUAACCGGUUUUGAAGAAAUUGAAUCUGAGAAACUCUGCAUUCCAGGGACAUGAAGCCCAGCUGACAGAUUAAAUGACAGACUACACAACCAACUCUGGGACCCCUCCAACCCUGGCAGGAGGGUUACCAUCCCCGCCUCACACCAGAUAAGACACUGGAGAAAACUAUCCCAUCCAAGAGAAAGACCCACUCAUGCGGUUGAGUCCAGCUGGUACCCACAGUAUUCUGAGUACAUUUUGAGUGUCUGGGUACCUUCUCUGGUUGAAUGAUGCCCAUGACACAUCAACUGCUGAAUACUUUUAAUACUACUUUUGGAUCCCCCAGUAAAUAAUUGGUUCUACUCUAAGUUAUCAGGAAGUCUGACAGUCAAGAAAACCCAGCCUCUUGCACAGAAUGGUCAAUCAACUAUUUAGAGCCUCUUUCUUAAAUAUGACCAGCCAGCCACGGGUCACCAGCUAUUGGAAGGAAGACCCCAACAUGAAUAGCAAAGACAAAAAGAUUAUAAUAAAUAAAUGGAACUUGGAAGAAGCAAAGGGAAUUCAGGGGGCAGAAGAAAACUUCAAAAAGUUAUACUUUUAGAGAAAUAUAAAAAGAUUUUUGUAGCUACGAGUGAAACAAGAUCAGGAUGCUAUUCUUUUUUAAAAGAAACAUCAGAAAUAUAAGAAAGGAUUCUUUCUUCAUGAACAGAAAAAUUGUCCUUCACCUUUGGACGGGAGACAAGUUUAUGCUGAAAUCCCCUGAUAUUACAUGAAAAGGUGAAGCAUGGUGGAACACAGCCAUGACUAGAGGGAAAGGUGACGGAGACGCUGACCACCCGCACCGCCCCCACCCCUGCUCUGCCUUCUCCCUGAACUGGUCUGAGUGAUAAAUCCGUGCCCCAACUGUGGC